GUUAGCAGCUACAUCACCCUGCAACUCACAAACUGGUAAACCACCGAAGGUCAGCAGGUGUGAGUCUGGCCAGUACCUGGACAGGAGACCUCCUGGGAAAACUAAGGUUGCUGCUGGAA
rnacentral:rRNA from 1 species